rnacentral:rRNA from 1 species
AUUGAACGCUAGCGGGAUGCUUUACACAUGCAAGUCGAACGGCAGCACGAGGAGCUUGCUCCUUGGUGGUGAGUGGCGGACGGGUGAGUAAUAUAUCGGAAUGUGCCCAGUAGCGGGGGGAUAACUACUCGAAAGAGUGGCUAAUACCGCAUACGCCUACGGGGGAAGGGGGGGAGUCUUCGGACCUCGUCACUAUUGGAGCAGCCGAUAUCAGAUUAGCUAGUUGGUGGGG